AUUGAACGCUGGCGGCAGGCCUAACACAUGCAAGUCGAGCGGAGCGGCGGACGGGUGAGUAAUGCCUAGGAAUCUGCCUGGUAGUGGGGGAUAACGACCGGAAACGGGCGCUAAUACCGCAUACUAUCAGAUGAGCCUAUGUCGGAUUAGCUAGUUGGUGGGGUAGAGGCCUACCAAGGCUACGAUCCGUAACUGGUCUGAGAGGAUGAUCAGUCAAACUGGAACUGAGACACGGUCCAGACUCCUACGGGGGGCAGCAGGGGGGAAGAUUGGACAAGGGGCGAAAGCCGGAUCCAGCCAUGCCGGUUGUGUGAAGAAGGUCUUCGGAUGGUAAAGCACUUUAAGUUGGGAGGCGUUACCAACAUAAUAAGCACCGGCUAACUUCGUGCCAGCAGCCGCGGUAAUUC
rnacentral:rRNA from 1 species